rnacentral:rRNA from 1 species
UCUUAGUGGCGGACGGGUGAGUAACGCGUGGGGAACCUGCCCUGUACAGGGGGAUAACACUUAGAAAUAGGUGCUAAUACCGCAUAAGCGCACAGUAUCGCAUGAUACAGUGUGAAAAACUCCGGUGGUACAGGAUGGACCCGCGUCUGAUUAGCUGGUUGGCGGGGUAACGGCCCACCAAGGCGACGAUCAGUAGCCGGCCUGAGAGGGUGAACGGCCACAUUGGGACUGGGACACGGCCCAAACUCCUACGGAAGGCAGCAG